CCUACGGGGGGCUGCAGUGGGGGAUAUUGCACAAUGGAGGAAACUCUGAUGCAGCAACGCCGCGUGAGGGAAGGAGGUCUUCGUAUUGUAGACCUCUGUCCUCAGGGACGAUAAUGACGGUACCUGAGGAGGAAGCCCCGGCUAACUACGUGCCAGCAGCCGCGGUAAUACGUAGGGAGCAAGCGUUGUCCGGAUUUACUGGGUGUAAAGGGUGCGUAGGCGGCCCUGCAAGUCAGGUGUGAAAACUAUGGGCUUAACUCAUAGAGUGCACUUGAAGCUGUGGGGCUUGAGUGAAGUAGAGGCAGGCGGAAUGACCGGUGUAGGGGUGAGAUGCGUAGAGAUCGGGGAGAAGACCAGUGGCGAUGGCGGCCUGUUGGGCUUUAAGUGACUCUGUGGUACGAAAGCGUGGGUAGCAAAGAGGAUUAGAUACCCGAGUAGUC
rnacentral:rRNA from 1 species